rnacentral:rRNA from 1 species
GCAGUGGGGAAUCUUCCGCAAUGGACGAAAGUCUGACGGAGCGACGCCGCGUGAGUGAAGAAGGUUUUCGGAUCGUAAAACUCUGUUUUCAGGGACGAAUGUGUGGAUUGUAAAUAAUGAUUCAUAAUGACGGUACCUGACAAGAAAGCCACGGCUAACUACGUGCCAGCAGCCGCGGUAA